rnacentral:lncRNA from 1 species
CCGACUUCAGGUGGCCCAGACCCCUCAGAGUGGACCCCUCCAAAAUGGAUCACAGUAAGAAGUGCACCUACCAUAAGGAGCAUGGACACACUACGGAGACGUGCAGGAGCCUCCAUUAUUUGGUGGAAAAGCUCAUAAACUAUAUCCACGGAGGACCACUGGAUGAGGAGUACGACUCCAAACGAAAGAGACAGAGGCUGUUGCGUGCAGCAUCAGUGCUUGAGCGCGUCAACUCUAUACGGCCUGGGAUAACUGGUAGGGGCCCCUGACCCAUAGAUGGAACAAUCAUUUUCCCCCCGAUAGAACCCACACGGAUAUUACAACCACACUGCGACGCUCUCAUCCUAUCCUUGGGGAUGGGAGACUUUGACGUGAGACGCAUCCUAGUCGACCCAGGCAACUCGGCCGAUCUUUUACAAGCGUCGGUAAUUAGUCACAUGGGACGCGAUCUAUCCGACCUUGAAAACCCUGGGCGAAUCUUGUCUGGAUUCAACGGAGCGGCGACUACCUCCUUGAGAGACAUUGUGCUGCCGGUCCAAGUAGACCCAGUCACUCUCAACGUACAAUUUUCGGUGGUACAAGAUUUAUCACCCUUCAAUGUUAUCUUGGGGCGCACAUGGCUGCACUAUAUGAAAGCCAUCCCCUCUACUUACCAUCAAAUGGUAAGCUUUCUCACUGAAGAUGGGCAAGUCGACCUAUACGGCAACCAGUUGGCCGCUCGCCAAUGCUAUCAGAUAGCGCGAGAAGUAGGGACCAGCCAGGAGGACAAACCCCUCCCUGAGCCCACCAACGCACUUAACCAAUAGCAAUUACUGAGUCCGGCGGACAAAGAUCCCCUGACAGCGGAUCCCUUGCGAACGAUACAGAUUUCGGAAGAAAGUACUCACUUCACACAUAUUAGUUCCCUUUUGACACGCGAAGAGGCAAGGAACAUCCAAGACACCCUUCGACAAAGCCAUGACGUCUUUGCAUAGGCGUAUUCUGAUAUGAAGGGAAUUCACCCCUCCAUCGUCUCUCAUAGGCUUAACGUCUUGCCAACAGCGAAACCUGUCCGACAGAGGGUCAGACGUUUUCACCCAGACAGGCAAAAACUUAUCAGGGAUGAGAUUGACAAGUUGCUGGAAGCCGGAUUCAUUAGAGAAGUGGAGUACGUAUCCGAACUGGUUGGCAAAUGUAGUAGUGGUCCCCAAAAAGGAAGGCAAAUGGCGGGUGUGCAUCGAUUACACCAACCUCAACAAUGCAUGCCCAAAAGACAGUUUCCCUCUACCGCGGAUAGACCAAAUUGUAGACUCCACCGCUGGACAAGGAAUGCUCUUUUUCUUGGAUGCCUUCUCCGGAUACCACCAAAUCCCCAUGGCCCCGGCCGACGAUGAAAAGACAGCCUUCAUAACGCCACACGGACUUUAUUGCUACAAAGUCAUGCCAUUCGGACUCAAAAACGCUGACGCUACCUAUCAGAGACUGAUGAUGAAAAUCUUCAAACUUCUGGUCGGUCGCACAAUGGAGGUAUACAUCGAUGAUAUCGUGGUUAAGAGCAAAACCCGAGGGGAACAUGCCCUCCACUUGCAAGAAGUCUUCCACCUCUUAAGGAAGUAUGGCAUGAAGCUGAAUCCAUCCAAAUGCGCUUUUGGCAUAAGUGCUGGAAAGUUCCUGGGAUUCAUGGUCAGCCAAAGAGGGAUAGAGGUUAGCCCGGAUCAAGUUAAGACAGUCAUGGAAACACCACCCCCCAGGAGUAAAAAGGAGUUACAGCGCCUCACAGGCAAGCUCAUCGCACUAGGGCGCUUCAUAGCCCGCUUCAUUGAUGAAUUGCGACCCUUCUUCUUGGCAAUACGAAAAGCCGGUGCGAACGGGUGGACGGACAGCUGCCAGAGCGCUUUCAAAAAAAUCAAACACUACCUCAUGCAACCACUCAUUCUAAACAGCCCCCUCCCUGGAGAAAAAUUGUAUAUGUAUCUGGCUGUAUCAGAAUGGGUCAUUAGCGUUGUUCUAUUCCGCUGCCCCUCACACAAGGAGCAAAAACCUAAUUAUUAUGUUAGCAGAGCGUUGGCUGACGUAGAAACAAGGUACUCAAAGAUCGAGCAAACGGCUUUGGCCCUUCGAAGUGCCGCCCAGAAGCUCCGCCCUUACUUCCAAGCCCACCCGGUGGUCGUGCUCAUCGACCAGCCCCUUCGCAACAUCUUGCACAAGUCGGACCUAAUCGGAAGAAUGCUUCAAUGGGCUAUAGAGUUGAGCGAGUAUGGAAUUGAAUACCAACCAAAAUUGUCCAUGAAAGGGCAAGUAAUGGCUGACUUUGUGCUGGAAUACUCCCAAAGACCUGCUCAACACAAAGAACCACGCGAAGAAGAGUGGUGGACUUUACGGGAUGAUGGAGCCUCUCGAUUAUCAGGAUCGGGAGUAGGGCUCGUGCUGCGAUCCCCAACAGGAGAGCAGUUGGAGGAAGCUAUCCGACUAGGAUUCCUCGCGUCUAACAAUGAAGCAGAAUAUGAGGUCAUCCUAUCCGGAUUAGAUCUCGCCCUGGCCCUGUCCGUCUCCAUGCUCCGAGUCUACAGCGAUUCCCAACUCGUGGUAAGGCACGUCCAUAAGGAAUACGAAGCUAAGGAUGAGCGCAUGGCGCGAUAUCUGACUAAAGUAAGAGACAUCCUACAACGGUUCGCCGAAUGGACCCUCGAAAAAAUUAAACGAAACGAUAAUGAACGUGCCGACGCCCUGGCAGGGAUAGUCGCUUCCCUCCCCAUCAAAGAAGCCAUAUUAUUGCCCAUACACGUGCAAACCAACCCCUUCGUCACGGAAGCAUCCACAUGCAAUACCAUUGAGGUGAGCCAAGCCAACGGCCAAGAGUGGACGGAAGCCAUAAUAAAGUAUCUCCGGACAGGCACUUUGCCCGAAGAGCCCAGGCAGGCACAUAAGACCAGGGUACAAGCCGCCCAUUUUACCCUAAUCGGGGGGCACCUUUACAAACGGUCCUUCACAGGCCCCUAUCUCAGGUGCCUAAACCACUCAGAAGCCCGGUAAGUGUUAGCUGAGUUGCAUGAGGGGGUGUGCAGCAAUCAUUCCGGAGGUCGAUCUCUAGCGCAUCGGGCCCACUCGCAAGGAUAUUAUUGGCCCACGAUGAAGAAAGAUGCGACAGCUCAUGUCAAAAAGUGUGACAAAUGCCAGAGGCAUGCACCCAUACCACAUAUGCCAUCGGAGACAUUAAAACCGAUUUCUAGCCCCUGGCCCUUCGCGCAAUGAGGGAUGGACAUAGUAGGACCCCUACCAACUGCAACUGCCCAGAAGAAAUUCUUGCUCGUCACCACAGAUUAUUUUAGUAAAUGGGUGGAAGCUGAAGCAUACGCUAGCAUCAAAGACAAAGACGUCACCAAGUUCGUAUGGAAAAACAUCAUCUACUGCUUUGGAAUCCCUCAAACCAUUAUAGCUGACAACGGCCCAUAGUUUGAUAGCAUCACUUUCCAGAAUUUCUGUUCGGAACUCAACAUCCGGAAUUUAUACUCCACACCGCGUUAUCCUCAAAGCAAUGGACAAGCAGAGGCCACAAACAAAACCCUAAUAACUUCCUUAAAGAAAAGGCUCGAGCAAGCCAAAGGGAAGUGGGUAGAGGAGCUACCUGACGUCCUAUAGGAAAUACUCCCUUCGCCCUCGCAUAUGGUAUGGAUGCAGUCAUUCCUACAUAAAUAGGGCUACCCACUAUCCGGACUGAGGCAGAACGGCAGGGUGAUGCAAAUGUGGAACUAGGAAGAAAUUUGGACUGGGCGGACGAAGUGAGAAAGAGUGCAUCCAUCCGGAUGGCCGACUAUCAACAAAGGGCAGCCGCUCACUAUAACCGCAAGGCAAGACCCAAGAGCUUCAAAAGUGGAACGCUGGUCCUCAGGAAGGUUUUUGAAAAUACUGCUGAAACGGGAGCAGGAAAAUUCCAAGCCAAUUGGGAAGGCCCCUACAUAGUAUCCAAGACAAGUGAAAGCGGAGCCUAUCAUCUACAGAAGCUAGACGGAACUCCGCUGCUCCGUCCAUGGAAUGUAUCCAAUCUUAAGCAGUAUUAUCAAUGAAAGGAACGGAAGAGAAAGCAAAAGAGACAGAGAAAAUGUAAUGUAUUUGUAAGAUAAGGAACAAAGUGUCUUUAUAAAAAUAGCUGCCCCAUAUGCAGCAAAACAAAGGAAAAAUUAUAAAGUCCGCACAAAAGGAAAUCUCAGCUAGACGGAUCCCCAGGUGCCGCAUCCUCCUCAUCAGAAGGGAAAGAAGGAAUAUCAUGCAUAAUUUCGUGCUUCUUCAUACAACAGCGGUAGCCGAAGAAGUACAUCUCGUCCGCCUGCUGCUAGUAUUCUUCUUCCAUCUCCUUCUUCUGGGCGGCGAACCUAGCCUCCAUCUCCUCCUUUUGAGCCGCCAGACCCGCCCGCAAAUCCUCUAACUCCUUCUUCUGAGCGGCGAGGCUAGCUCGGAGUUCUUCCGUCUCUCUUUUCAACUGGAGGUUCUCCUGCCUAGCUUCACUGACUUGGCUCUCCAAGGCUUCCUUUUCUUUCUCUAGAAUAUCAGCCUCAGCUCGGAUAGCGUCCUUCUCCCCCUCAACCCGGCACAGCUGCUCCGACCCAUCCACCACAGCUUUUCGGCCAGUGGCCAACUCAGCCUCAACCUUCUUCAACUGGGCGCGCAGCUCCUCGACGGCACCCAGAUGCUGGGAGAUAAAGGCACGCAUGGCCUCUGCCACCUUCAGCCGCUUGAAAAGCUGCUCGCGUGUGCGCAUCAUGUGGCGGAUGCUGGUUAUAGCCUGGGCAAAGCGACAACAAAACAACAGACAAUGUUACAAUAGAAAAGUGGUAACUGCUAAGAAACAAGAGAAAAACAGCAAAAAAGUAUUUACCACUUCAGCAGUCUCUAGGAUCGUCCAUUCCUACAGGGGCUGAAUGCAGGACACGGCGGACUUAGAAGUACCAAAAGGGAGUCGUGCCUCUGCGUCUGUGAAGCAUGGCACCCCCUUCAGCAUCUCCAUCAGUUCCUCCCAACUUGGAGAAACUGCUGCAGCAUGACUGCUCUUCUCUUCCGGAGCCUCCUCACCGUUCGACGCGUCCGAAACCCCCUCUGACAUAGAGGUGUCCACCACAACAGGGGAGCGUAGGCCUGAACCGUGGCCGCCGCGCUAGAUCCUACGGCAUCACUUGCACUGGCACCAUCCCCGUAUGAACGGGUCGCAGCUGACGCCGGAACCUUUGGCGUCGGUUCCUCCCCACCCCGAUCCGGGCAAACUUUCUUAGCUGGGGGAGGCCCAAGGUCGAAGGGGACGUGCAACCAUUUGCCAUGUCUGCGCAGAAGCCUCGCCCUAAGGUCACUUGUGCUUCUCAUUUCCUCUGGCUCGUCCAUGACCUGCAAGCCAGCAGACUUCGGUUCAGGCUAGGGAGAGCUAGGCUUCGAGUGGAAGAUUACAAGCUGAAGGGAACUGGAGGUGGCCUCAGGUUCCUCAGCCUCCUCAGACUCCGGGAUAGUGUGGUCCGACCGGUUGGGCCCGAACCUACAAGACGAAGACGAAGCCUCAGGAGUGGGGGUCGCUAUCCGGAGCACCUGCGCAAGUGUCUUCUUCGUCUUCUUCUUCUUCUUUUCCUUUGUGGCCGGGGGACAGGCCGCUGGAGAAGAGUCGCGCCCCUUCUCACCAGGUGCUUUCCUUAAUGUCCCCUCCUGCCUCUUCUCCUCUUGCUGGUCAAGGCGUUCUUGACGCGCCUUUGCGUCAGCCUCGUGAGCCCUCUCGUAAAAAGACAAAUCUUUCAAUACAAAAUGCUUCCCAAGCACUACCCGUUUUGGCAAUCGCCUAAGGAGAAUGUUGGUGACGUACGGUUGAGGCUCCCGGACUACCGCCAACAGGUUCCGGGCAAUGAGCAGCGUCUGAUAAUGCCUCUCAGCUGCAGUGAUCUCGAAUAACUUGUUCAAGCGGUCGAAAGACGCCUUUUCCACCCACUCGACCAGGCGACCCCUCUUGGACGUACCUACGUUGCCCACAACCAAAGACGUUAGCCAUCUGAUAACAUUAAACUAAGAGAACAACAAGUGAACGUCGGACAAACUCCGCAAGCUACCCUACUCGGGAGCGCUAGCGAACGGUUUGGGGAAAACGCUCUCUCCGGAUGCUCCGACAGUCCAGCCCAAACACCCUUGACUAAUACAUGCCCCUUGGCUCCCCCCUUCGUCGAAUCUAGAAGAUGAGUCACCAAUUGGAGGGACGACAUAUAGGCAGCCAGGCUGAAGAGGUCAGUCUUUCCCUUCUUGAUGGAAUAGAUGAAAAGGACCUCCAGCAGCGAAAGGUCCAAGUUAAACAGCAUGCUCAGAAUGCUGCACCCCAUCAGCACCCGGACUAUGUUGGGAUGGAUGUAGGCCGAAGAGAUCUGGAUGAAGUGAAGAAACUCUUUGAACAAGGACGGGAGAGGGAACCGGAGCCCCGCAUUGAAUUGCUCCUUGGAGAAAUAGAUAGCGUUGUCCGCAGAUUUCUCAGUGGAUAUGGCCUCUCCAUCCACAAGCUGAACGGACACGCCAUUCGAAAUGCAGAAGCGUUCACAAAACUACCUCACGUUCAGCUUGUCAACAGGCUUUUCCGCAUAGACCACCCCGAAAGCGUUCUUUCCGCUCUGCCCGACCGCACUUGAUGAAGCUACGUCCUUUUUCGCAGGCAUUUUAAAGCGUGGGGCCGAAACGGAACCUGCAUGGCGGGAUGCCAACAGUAAAAAAAAAAGGACCUGGCCCCACAGCCCUAACAGCAAAAACGCCGAGAAAACCUAAGAUACCCAACAUCCCCAUCCUAACCCUUGGCUCUACCCCAAAGCAAGAUCGGUCACCCACAAAAGGUGCAGGGGGGCAACAGGAACCCUAACGCACCCAAAACAAAACCAAAACCCCCCGAAAAAUCCUUGAACACCAGUACCGACCCCCAGUCACAAGUAGCUUACCCAACAAGCCAGAAACAAUCAAAAACAAACACAAACGGGAAGAAGGCAGAAAUAGAGAACGUACCUAGCGCAAACUGGCAAAACGGAGAUGAAGCCCGCGAUGCAGUCACCCUCACGACACGAAUGUCGCUAGCAGAAGCCCUAGAACUUCACUUACAGGCGAAGAUACGCAGAAAGCCGAAGAGAAAGCACUACCAACAGAAAUGCAGAAGGAAGAAAUGCAGGCGUAGGGGGGCUCGGUCUGCUAUUUAAAGGGAGACAGCCCCUCGGUAUUCCAAACGCCUAGCCGUGCCGUUAUUGAAAAGACAUACCGCCUGGGAAUUCCCAAGGACGGCGGCUCGUCAUAAAUGUCCUUCCUCCUUUUCGCCUCCGCACCGCCACGUGGCCCAAUGAGCGCAAAAAAACAACCUAAGUUUCAAAACCAUCAUUUUUUAACCCGCCCAUUCUGCCCAGGCAAAAUCGACAGGUUAAAAGGGGGGCAUUAUAGGGACCCCCCCCCCCCCCCCCNNNNNNNNNNNNNNNNNNNNNNNNNNNNNNNNNNNNNNNNNNNNNNNNNNNNNNNNNNNNNNNNNNNNNNNNNNNNNNNNNNNNNNNNNNNNNNNNNNNNGGGGCAUUAUAGGGACCCCCCCCCCCCCCCCUCCCCCCUCCCCCCACGAUGACACGCGGCGCGCACAGCCAUCCGAAUCACCUCUAUCGGGGUCCCCCAGGGGAGGGAGGAGCACCCUGCACUCUCAAAUAUCAUACCCGGGCGACGCUCCAUCCUAUCCGGAUCAUUGACUGUAAGGAGAAAGCCUUGCUGAGUCAUCCCAAACAGCCUGUCACAGCCCACGUUUCGCCGCCUACAAAGCGAAAGGACAGGAGGGAUGGCAAGUCACCUCCCAUGAUAUCUAACAGCCGCCUGCAAGGUGAUGAUGACUCUGCCACCACCUUGAAGACAUCAUGACAAGCCAAAAAGUCUUCCCACCAUUAAAAAGGGGAGCAAAGCUUCUGACACUAUAUAAAAGGACCUUCACACAAAGAAGAAGGUAAGGGAGCUACCCCAGAAAAGAGGUCAAGAGCCUGAUCUUUUAAGCCAUGACUAACAAAACCAUCGGAGGAUGUGUUCGGACAUCCUGUCUGGACAUCUUUUUCAGGGUCGAUUGAGCUAGAACUCAUUCUUGGUUGAAAGUGCGCGUCCACUUAGCAGCAGCGUGGAUCCCUGGGACGCGAGGCAUCAAUAGUGUCUUCAAAAUUUUCUUUGAAAAAUGUGAAGAUCCAUCCCUAAAAAGUUGGAAAUAGGAAAUAAUCAAGCUGACAAAAACAAAAGUGAUUAACACAAGAAAAGCAUAAAAAUUUCCUUUACGGCAACCAAUUCCAAAAUAGCAGCAAUUACCAUUGCCAAUGUAUCAACGAGAAAUGCGCGCUUUCCACGAGCAUUUCCGAGCUGAGAAAUCUGUCUGCAAGCAAAUGGAUGAACAACUGACCCAUUCCAUUCAAACAAUGCCCCCAAUCUGAUAAAAGAAAACGCUCUCCUCGAUCCAAACAUUAAGAAUUCUCAAGAACAAAACUAGUAGAGGAAUAAGCAAAUUGCGGUGAAAUUCUUUAUCUGAACCGCGGAUGUGAGAGAAAAGAGAGAAACCGCCAAAACCUGGAGGAAGGGGGUGGUUGAAAUUGAAAGCCUAUGACGAAUCUUUCUACCAUUUUUAUAAGAAGGCUUCCUUGAAAGCUUUGCAAACUUCCUCUUUUCACCUCCCGCGGAAAGUGUUCGUUCAAAGGCCCGAUGGGUGGGGAUUACUUGUAAUAUAAUUAGAAAAUUACAUAAAAGUUGAAAAUAAGCCAAAAAAUAAAUGUUUUUUUUGUUAUUUAUUUAUUAUGAAAUUUUAUGCCAUUAAAUUAUUAAUUUUAGUAGGGUAAUAAUUCCUUGUAGAAUUAUAAAUAUUAAGUAUUCAAGAAGUUCUUGAAUAUUAAAUAACUUUUAACUUUAAGGGCAUACUACCCUUUUGUUAUAUCUUAUCAUCUAUGUUGGUAAUAAAUAUAUUGUAUUUUUUAAAAUUCAAGGAAAAAUAUGAAAAUAAAAGGAAUUAAAAAGUGAAAGAAAUGGAAAAUAAAUUUAAAGUGAAGAUAUUAUCCUUUAUAUGUGAUAUGUUGAUGAUAAUAUGUUGUAUAUAUUUUUUAUCUUAUAUUUGAUUAUUGAAAAAAUAAAAUAAAAAUGAAAAAUACAUUUAAAGUUAAUAAAUUAUUUAUAUAUAUAUAUAUUUAAAUUUAAUAUUUUAUGGUACACUAAAUAUAAAAAAAAAUUAAUAUAUUUUUCUUUAAUAUUUUUUGUUAACUAAAUGUAACGUAAUAAAAACUCAUGGUAUACCAAACUAUUGAAGCGCAUGGUUAAAUUUAAAGUUAUAAAGAGAGUUUUUAAGAUGAGUAAUCAGGAAAAAGAAAGCCUAUUAAUAUUUUUUUUAGGCAGGAAGAUAGAUAAGAAUUACUACAAUCUCAAUCUGGCAUGUAAUCCACUGAGGAGGGGGGCAGUGGAAAAUACAUUUGCUCUCUCAAAUCAAACUGCAUUACUUACUUAAACAAUGAAAAUAAAAUUUAUUGAUAAAUAAAACCAUUGUAUAACCAUGUACUGAACCAGGGUAUAGUAAAACAAUUCCCCUCCCCUUCCCUUGCACAACAACAAAAGGAUUACUACAUCUUUAUGAUAAAGAGGAAGGGGGAGUUUUGAAAGAAGAUUUCCAAAUUGAUUAGCAACAAUAAAUAUAGCAUAGUGCCACUUCUGCAGCUUGGAUUCCUCUUCUAACAUACAUCCUAACCCAAACUCUCUCCAAUCUUACUUUGGUCUUCUUCGGUAAGGGUAUAGAAUGUCAUCCAGACUCUCUUUUAGAUAAUUUCCCACCUUAUUCACAUUCCUGGCAACACCUGAUGCCACCAGACUUGCAUUCCUUACAAACCUGCAUUGUUAUUCACAAGCAUUAGAUUUCGGGUUUUCUGAGAAUAAAUUGGAAGACACUGUAUGUAUUUGAGAUGAAUUAUUGGCUUGCCUGUUCAAGUACUCAUUCCCUGUGGAAUGUGGCGGUUUAUAGGGGCGAGGUUGAGGAAAAGCAUGGCUGUCUAUAACAUAAGAAUAAACAGAAGGCAGAAGGUCAAAAAACUUGAACAAUAACAUUAUUUAAAACAUUGAAACCUCAAGAGGAAAUAGAACCAUUAUUCAAUAAGAAGGUUUAUCAAGGUUGAAAGUUGGGAGGUGAUGUUUCAGUAAAACCUUGAAAAGAAAUGGAUGAUAUGAGCAAAUGAGCAGUAAAGAAUGUGACUCCUUGUUAACUAUAGAAUCAUAAACAUUCCUCAUAUCAUGUCCUCAAAUUUAGCAACCAUUUAGAAGCUACAUGGAAAAUGAAAACAACCUUAGCACUUGUUUAAUUCUUUGUAAUUAUGAGUUUAACAAUUAGUGCUACAAACCCACUUUACAAGAAGAAAUUUAUUGAUGCUAGAAUGGAUCUCAUUUCCUAUAAUUUUUUUUUUUCAAAUAGAUACAACAAUACAUAAUUUUUGUCUCCUUUUCCUGAAGGAAAAAAAAAACAAGGAAUAAAAUGUUAGAAAUCCAAAAGGGAACUCCCAACACUUCUGUGGAUUUGAAAGAUGUUAAACAAAUUUGAAGCAUAAUAUGUUAUUCAAAGUAGAGAGUUCCAUUUUCAACAAUUUGAGUGACAAUCAAUGGUUAUUGCCAUUUAUUUCUUUUCGUGUUGGUGCAUUUUUGUGUGUAAAAAAAUAAAAAAAUAAAAAUCAAACUAUAACAUAGAACAUGACCAAUGAAAAAGAGAACAAAAAGUAAAUUGCUUUUAAUACCUUCUCUUCUCUGAGCAGGAGCAGGAACAUGGUUAGCGGACCCAUGGUGAGCAGGAACAUGAUUAGCAGACCCAUGGUGUGCAGGAGAAGUUCUCUUGUCCAACAAAACCUACAAGAAGCAAAGCAAGAUAAAUUAUAACUUGACAAAAAGGAGAUAACACAUGUAAGCAAGAGCCUGAUUAUUAGAAAAUUGAAUUCCAAAUCAAUCAAAAUCUAUUUAAAUACAAUCCAGAUAAAAAGUAAGGAACUUGAAUAUAAUGUAAACCAAACCGGACACAAAGCUAGAUGGUUGGAUUAUGAAUUUACACCACUCACUUAUUUGUACAAAAAAGAACAAAGAAAGAAAUUCAAGGAUUUCAUUAAAAAAUCUAGGCAAAAGAACAUACAUGACUGAGCUUCUGUAAAUUUCCAUGAAAUUUAAUGCCACUUCACAGUAAUCAAGAUUCAAUUUGCAUUCCAUCUUUCAAACCUUGUACACUUGCAUUAAGCUUUUAGUUGUGCAUUUCCAAAACAUAAUCAUGCUUCAAUACGACAAUAAAAUUUAAGCCAAAGGUAAAUCCUAGUUUGCAUAACUUCUCUCCUCAUCCUAGUUUGCAUAAGGAAAUUUAGAAGUUUGAGUUAAAAACACUCACACACAAACACUUACGACCUAUUUAAUAACGUUUUUUAAAACAGUUCUCAAAAAAUAGUUUAUGAGAGCAGUUUUUUAAAACAAUCUCAAUUAUCUCUAAGAAUAAAGAUCUAUUUAAAAAAUCAUAUAUAUAAAACACAAUUUUCUUGGCUUCCUCUCCAUGAAACAAUGUACACUUAUGCACAAUGCAAAAGUUCCCACAGUAUUCUCCAUUUUUUUUUUUGAAUUGGCAAUGAUACAAUUUUAUAAACAAGCGCCAUAGAAACAGCCCAUCAAGGAACAAAGGAUGUAUACCACAAGAGCCAAAGAAACAAUAAAAAAAUGGAGCUAAGGAACAACCAAAAUGAGAGUACAAAAAACAACUUUAUCCCAUAAUGAGACCCCAACCAAUCAACAAAAUCAAUUAAAUGUACAACUUUACUCAUAAAAAAAGAUUACUAAGAAAUAGGCUCUUCAAAACACAAAUAGGUCAUUCCUUAUCCUCAAAUGACCUUCGAUUUUUCUCUUUCCAUAUUGUCUAAAAGAUGCAUAAAGGAACAACUCUCCAAGCCCUUUUACACCUUUUUUCUGAUGAAUGAUCCACGUCACCCUAGCAGAGCCUCUCUCAUUGUCACCAACAACACCCAAGGAACACCAAACAAAGAGAAGAACAACCGACAAAUAACCCUUGCCUUGGAAGGGUGAAGAAAAAUGUAAUGGAUUGACUCUUCAACUUUACAUAGGAAGCAUCCAUUAACCAAUGUCCACCCUCUUCUUUGAAACGAAUCAAAAGUCAAAAUCUUUCCCAACAAGCUUUCCACGAAAAUAAAUUUGUUUUAGAUGGAAUCUGUGAAUUCCAAAUGACCCCCAUUGGAGAAGGAGUUAAACUUCCCAAUCCCAAGGCAACAUAAUGAGACUUUACUGAGAAGGUAUCAUUCCUCAAUCCACACUACCCUAUACUACUCUUUUUUUUUUCUUUUUUUUUUUGUAGGUAAAUUAUUGUCCCCAUUGGUACUUGAACCCGAAACCUCCCACAAACCCUCCCCAUACCCUAUCCUACUCUCUAUUCACUACCUUACCUUGCAAUCUAGAGAAAAAUUGUUCUACAUUUUCCAAUUCUCAAUCAUUAAGCUGUCUAGAAAAGUAAGGGUUCCAAUGGCCCUUUUCCUUGUUUGAUCUCUUAAAUCAGUCACCCAAGCCUUUUUUCAUAAGGCUAAAGCAUACAAAGAUGAAAAAGAAACACACAAUGACUCAUCCAAAACUUCACCCUCCUCCCAUUACCCACAAAAAAGGAAAUUCCACUAUUAAAGAUAGCUCAAUCCUUCCUAAUAGCUUUUCGUAACUCAACACCAUACUCAUCUCUCACAUCACAACACGACCACCUCCCUUUUUCCUCUCCAUAUUUUCCACAUAUAACCUGUCUCUAGAGAGCUCCCCUUUUCAUCACCAACUUCACUUGCACAAAAAUGCUUUAUUCAAAGAAAGACUUCCAACACCCAAACACGCCCACACACCACUUUCCUUUCUCCGUGCAUACAGUUGACCACUUCACUAGAUGAAAUUUAUUGUCCAAAGUCUCUUUGAAUCCUCUCUAGUAUCAUUCCAACUUUUCUCAAAAUGGACAACAAUGACAUAAAAUAGAUGGGGAAGCUAGAUAAUGUGCUCCGGAUCAAAACAAAUCUUCCCCCUUUUUCUGAAAUAUAUUGUCUUUUUCCACAUAGACAACCUCUUGCACAAUUUCUCUUCCACUUCAUCCCAAGCAGCCACUAAUUUAAAAGAAAUGCUCAAAGGAAGCCUCAUAUACACCCCAAUUCAUAGGCCAAUUCCCCGACAUUGUCCACCCUCCCAACUCUAAUUAACUCACUCUUUUCCAAAUUAAUUUUCAAACCAGAGAUGAUUUCAAACCACAUGAGCAAUCAGCUUAAAUGAACCAUUUGGUCUUGAGAAACCUUACAAAAACAAGGGUAUCACUUGCAAACAAUAAAUGAGACACCUCCCCUUCACCCUAAAACCUGACAGAUGGCCUCCAUCCUUAACCAUCUAUAGAAGGCAACUAAGGGCCUCCAUUGCUAUAGCAAAUAUGUAGGGACAAAGAGGAUCCCCUGCCUCAAUCUGCUUAAACUUUGAAAAAAGGCAAAAGGGAUGUCAUUAACAAGUACCGAACACUUUGCAGAAGAACUAUACCACACAAAAAACAAUCGAAAACACCACAAAUUUGUUUUCAAAAAGCAACCUAUUUUAAAACAAGUUCUCAAAAAAACUGUUUUCUGUCAAAAUUUCACCAAAUGUACUUUCUAAGUAAGAGAAAUGUUGUCAACACCAGUUUCCAAAUAGACCCUUAUAUUUUGGCAUGCAUCACUAAAAAUAUAAUCCAACAAGGUAUAUCUCAACAAAUUUUUUGAGUUAAAAAUAAUCUGUUUACCACAUUUCUUGUAUGAGGAAAGAUAGAAAAAAUACAUCUGAAUGUAAUACCUCAAGACCAACACAGAAUGGCAAUUCUGCUUGUUUCUCUUCCUGAUCAGCAGAUGGAUUUUUGUUGUCCAAAUACACUGAGUAACCAGCGCAAGCAUACCUGAAGUCUGUAAGACUUCGACCCUCUUUAGAAGCUUCCAACUCAGAUUCUCCCACAAUAUAGCUUGGUACUGUUCAUAAACUUUAAAAUUAAUACAAAUAUAACAUAUUUAACGAAUAUAACUCUUAAUUAGGCACGAAACGAAUGAUCAAUGCAUUAAAAAAAACACCAAAAAAAAAACUAGCUACUAAGAUUAGAAAUUAGUGAAAUCUCUUAACAUGGUUUCUUCUAUACAUACAUAUUCAGUAAGAUAUGAAGCUCUCCAUGGGUCAAAACAUUAACAAGCACUUCAGUAUGAGAAUGAAAGGCAACAAAUAUCUAGAAGCACCAGGCACAUCAAAGCGACUUAUCUCAAGUAAGGAUUAAGGCCUAGACUCCACAGCUUAGCACAGAAAAAGCGCAUCUAUCUAUUCACAAUGCGGACCUAUUUGCGAUUUAAAAAGAGUCUAAAAUUUGGUUCUCUGGAUGGAUAUCAAGCUAUGACAUUGGAUCUAUCCAAAGAGUAAAACAGGAGAUUUGAUUCAUGAUUCAACAUUAUUGCUUCGCAAAUAUUGUUUUAGAGACUUGACUAAAACCCUAGAACAUAAAAAAAUCAAAGAAAAACCAACACAGAAGUGAACCCCUCCAAUGUACCAACAGUGAUUUCAAGAUUAGUGACCUGAAGCUUUAUUUGCAUCGCCUUUCAAAUUCUAUAUUGAUACCACACACUUGAAGCCACUCCAUGAGUAUGACAUACAUGCUAUAGAAAAAAGCAUCAAUUCCUACUUUAAUUAAAUCAAUAGCAUCACAGAUCAUGCCCUAGAAAAAGAGGUAAAUUUACAUUACACAAAUGGACCUGACGUUUCAAUCUAAUCCCAUAUUGAAGAUCCUAAUCAACCAUAAUGCCAGUUAGCACUUAGCACCACACAGUGCCGCGUCAGAUUAAAUUUCUGAUUUUUCUUCGAUCUUCCUCCAGUUUCCUCAGGAGUCAAACAGAGAGAGAAAUAAAUACAACUAGAAAAAUAUGCAUAUAUAGGGAGAGAGGCACCUUGAUGAAGGGUUCUACUGAUGCCGAUGCACCUAGGGUUUUGAGACUUGGAUUUGAGAAUAGACGAGUAGUAUAGACAUCCCUUGCAUGACUUGCCCUUUGAUCCUCUAACAGGGUUAGGGUUAGGGUUAGGGCUAGGGCUAGGGCUAGGGUUAGGGAUUCCGUCGUCUUCUUUAUCCAUCUCCAUCUUUCGGGUUUCACUUGCAGUUGCAGAUGUGUUUCUCUCUCCCUAUGAAGCCACGCAUAAGUUCUUUAUAGGCAUCAUAAGAUCAUAAUACGAUACUGACUCUCAGUUCUAGUGCAAUUCCAAUAGGGCCAUUCAAGAUUCCAAUUUAAAAAAUAAAUAAAUUAUAUAUAUAUAUAUAUAUAUAUAUAUAUAUAUGAAAAAUAAAUAAAUUAUUAAGAGCUCGUUUUGGAUGUAUUUUCUAUUUUUUUAUUUUUAGAAAUAGAAAUUAAUAAAAUAAAAGGUCUAAAAUCUUAUUAAAAGGUUAUAGAUUUAUGUCCUAAAAAUUAUUUUUAAAAUUCUUUUAUAUUUGAGAUAGAGAAAAUUUUUAAUAAUUUGAUUUUUUUUAAUGAUUUUUUAAAAGUAAUUAAUAUAUAUUUUAUAUAAAAAUUAUUAUUAAAAACAGAAAAUACUAAAUAUACAUUAAGAAAUAUAUUUUCUUUAUACUUUUAUAAAAAAAUUAAUAUUUUUCCAUUUUUAAUGUAGUAUUUUUUUAUCAUAUAGUGAAAGAUAAUUUUCUUAAGUUUUAUGACUAAUUUGAAAUAAUCAAUAUAUUGUUAAUAUUUAUUUUCUCCUAAAUUGAUUAAUUUAUGAGUGAGUUUGAAUGUAUGAUUAUUUUGUUCUAACGAAAUAAUAUUAUUAUUUUAAAAGACUUAAUAAUUUAAUUUAUAUCAAUCUUAAAUCUUUUUUUAUAAAAAUAAUUUUUGAUUUAAGUAAAAAUAAACUAUCUAUUUUAACUUAAUACUUAAAAUCAUUUUUAAUUUUAAGUUAUGAUAUUAAAUUAUUUUAAUUAAAAAAAUAAAAUUAAUAUAAAUUAAAUCAUUAAAUCGAUUUACCAAAAACCUUCAAAAUCAAGAAAAUUGUUUCAGAUAUUUGAAUUUUUGAACAAAAUCCCAAUCUAGAAAAUAAUUAAACGAUAUUCCAAAAAACUAAGAACUCUUUCAAAAUUAGUUUUCCAAACUCAAAAACAAUUUUUGAUAAAUAAAAAAAAAAAGUUUUGAAAACAGGCUUAUAUUCUAAAAACAAAUAUUAAUUAUUUUUACUUGCUUUCUGAAAAUUAUUUUAAAAAAUAGUUAUAUAAAUACAAAGGAUGGUUAAAAAGAAAAUACUAUAAAUAAAAAAUAAAUUUAAAACAUUUCAAAUUCCCAGAGAAAGACUUGUAUUUUAAAAAGCAGCAGAGAACCAUCCUUUGGCACCUGUAUUCAAAAACUGUUUUUGACAAUUGUGUUCUAAGGCGAUAGGAAGCAGGUCCUUAUUUUCUAAGAAUUAUUUUCCCAGAUUAUCGUCUGCCUCCAUAUACUGCCUCAAAUUAUAAGAUUAAAAAAUGAAGGACCUGCUUAGAAGUUGGAACCAAACACACUUGGACUGCUAUGGGCUAUGGAAUCGUCUUCCUUGAUAAGCAUUCAACAGUCAACAUUGCUAUUGAACCAGCAAAAGAGAAGUUUUCCUUUCCAAGCAAGCAUUAUAUUUCUGUAGGUACUCUCUCUAGUUUGAAGCACACAACAAACUCAGCCAUGCAAAUACUACCAAUAACUGGGGAGUGUGGGUUGGUUACUCUCCUAUCCUCAAAGCUGGAAUUUUUGCUUCUUCACAACAUCAGGCUAUUAGGAAUUAUAAACAUAUAUAAAAUAAACACCACAAAGGAAUUAUGAACUUUCUUGUCAACUCUCAGAUAACUUUUUCUCAUGAGUAAAAACUUCUCUACACAGUGUUUAUCCAAAUCUAAUUGAACAUCCUAAGGCUUCCUGUUGUGUCAUUUCCCACUGUACAUCCCGCCAACUGCUUCAGUCGUCCCUGGAAUUACAAACACCUACAAGUCUACACAGAUGGAUACCAUCCAAUCCCAUUGGGGCAUUGAGAUCACAGAGCAGGUUGAAUGAUUUCAACCUUCCACCUCACAGGAAUAAGUUUAACAACUAUUCUUCACCACAUUGAACUACUACUCCGAUGUCAGACAUAAGACCAUUCAAAAACUGUUAUCGAACUAAAUGGGAAAACAUCAGCUAUAAAGACAAAACAGGUGUCCAGCUAAACUGAAUUGUGUUUCACAAAUAUAAAAACGCAUCAAAGCUUAUAGAAAGUUGGUACCUCCUAAGAUGAAAAUUCUGUACACUACCACAAGUCACUGCUACUGCUACUGACUGAUAAUGGCAUGAUGCUCCUCUCAUGACACCACCAGUCUCUGCAGCUGUGGACAUCCUACAUUCAACUGUGCCGAUAAUCACAUGAUGCUCCCUUCUUGCAAUGCCCAUUCUCAUGAUACACACACAAUCUCUGCCCUUUAGGGGUUGAUCUACCAGAACCUCCUCCCCCUCCAUUGCCAAAUGAUGAUUGGCGAUUCCAAGGUCUGCCCCCGCCAUAACCAGGAUCUCCACCCUGGGAACCCCUGUCCCUUUGACCUGAGAAUCUAUCACCAUUAUGAUUUUGGUCACUUCCCCACAUGCCUUGGUUCCCUGUUGGUGCAACCCAACUUGGAAUUGCAUUUCCAGGUGCUGACGCUUGACCAGAAGCUCCCCAGUUCAUGUUUGUGUUUCCUGGUACUGGUCCCCAGCUCAUAUUUGGAUUUCCAGGCAUUGGACCCCAGCCAGCAUUUGGAUUCUGUGGCCCUGGCCUUGGGGCAGCACUUGGAUUUUCUGCAACACCCAUACCCCAAGGUAGGUUGGGUGGGGCAGCUGGAGCCAGGUUGGGUGGGGCCGGUGGGAUCAUAGCGGGUGGAGCAGGGGAGAUCAUGUUGGGUGGACCCGGAGGGAUAAUGUUUGGUGGACCAAGAGGGACUAGGUUGGGUGGGGCUGCAGAGAUCAUAUUGGGUGGCACUGAAGGAGUCAGGAUUGGAGGUGGAGGCAGAGGGUUCAGGUUAGGUGGAGCUGGGGGGCCCAGAUUGGGUGGGGUUGGAUGGCCUAGAUUGGUUGGAGCUGGAGGGCCAAAGCUGGGUGGAGCUCGAGGGCCCAUGUUAGGUGGAACAGAAGGAGCUAGGUUGGGCAGAGCCGGAGGACCAAGGUUGCCAGGAGGUGGAGGCUGGAAGUUUGGUGGAUUACUUGGAACUUGAGGUCUCCAAGAAUCAGAUAGAGGCAAACCUAGGCCUGGACUAGGGAAAUACCCAGCUAGAUUUCCUGUGCCAAGAG